UGGUGACUUGUUCUGGUGUCUGAGUGGC
rnacentral:piRNA from 1 species